AAGCCGGUACAAGCGUAUAGCAGUCAUGCAGGCAAAACCGCAUGAAAAAUGUAAAGCGUUAUGUGGAUCGAACAUUAGUAGAGAAGCGUGUGAGCCAGCUGCCAAGAAAAGCCGCUAUUGUUUCAUAAGUACCCGUACCGUAAACCGACACAGGUGGAUGAGGAGAGAAUCCUAAGGCCGGCGGGAGAAGUGUUGUUAAGGAACUCGGCAAAAUGACUCCGUAACUUCGGGAGAAGGAGUGCCACAGAGAUGUGGCCGCAGAGAAAUGGCCCAAGCAACUGUUUAGCAAAAACACAGGUCUAUGCAAAACCGAAAGGUGAGGUAUAUGGGCUGACGCCUGCCCGGUGCUGGAAGGUUAAGAGGAGAGGUUAGAGCAAUCGAAGCUUUGAAUUUAAGCCCCAGUAAACGGCGGCCGUAACGAUAACGGUCCUAAGGUAGCGAAAUUCCUUGUCGGGUAAGUUCCGACCCGCACGAAAGGCGUAAUGAUUUGGGCACUGUCUCAACAACACACCCGGUGAAAUUGAAAUACCAGUGAAGAUGCUGGUUACCUGCGCCAGGACGGAAAGACCCCAUGGAGCUUUACUCCAGUUUGAUACUGGGAUUCGGUACUGUCUGUACAGGAUAGGUGGGAGGCUAGGAAAUGGUGACGCCAGUUGCCAUGGAGCCAACCUAGGGAUACCACCCUUACAGUACUGGGUUUCUAACCUGCAGCCGUAACCCGGCUGGGGGACAAUGUCUGACGGGGAGUUUGACUGGGGCGGUCGCCUCCGAAAGAGUAUCGGAGGCGCUCAAAGGUUCCCUCAGAACGGUUGGAAACCGUUCGAAGAGUGCAAAGGCAGAAGGGAGCUUGACUGCGACACCGACGGGUGGAGCAGAUACGAAAGUAGGACUUAGUGAUCCGGUGUAUAAAGUGGGAUUGCCAUCGCUCAACGGAUAAAAGCUACCCUGGGAUAACAGGCUUAUCACUCCCAAGAGUUCACAUCGACGGAGUGGUUUGGCACCUCGAUGUCGGCUCAUCGCAUCCUGGAGCUGUAGCAGGUUCCAAGGGUUGGGCUGUUCGCCCAUUAAAGCGGUACGCGAGCUGGGUUCAGAACGUUGUGAGACAGUUCGGUCCCUAUCCGGCGUGGGCGUAGGAUAUUUGAGAGGAGCUGUCCUUAGUACGAGAGGACCGGGAUGGACAAACCUCUGGUGUAUCUGUUGUUUUACCAAAGGCAUGGCAGAGUAGCCAAGUUUGGCAGGGAUAAACGCUGAAGGCAUCUAAGCGUGAAGCCCCCCUCAAGAUAAGAUAUCCCAUCUUCGGAGUAAGACACCUUGAAGACUACAAGGUUGAUAGGCUUCAGGUGUAAGUGUGGUAACGCACUCAGCUGAGAAGUACUAAUAGGUCGAGGACUUAGC
rnacentral:rRNA from 1 species